AUUGAACGCUGGCGGCAUGCUUUACACAUGCAAGUCGGACGGCAGCACAGAGAAGCUUGCUUCUUGGGUGGCGAGUGGCGAACGGGUGAGUAACAUAUCGGAACGUACCGAGCAGUGGGGGAUAACUAAUCGAAAGAUUAGCUAAUACCGCAUAUAUUCUGAGGAAGAAAGCAGGGGACCAUUUAGCCUUGCGCUGUUUGAGCGGCCGAUAUCUGAUUAGCUAGUUGGUGGGGUAAAGGCCUACCAAGGCGACGAUCAGUAGCGGGUCUGAGAGGAUGAUCCGCCACACUGGGACUGAGACACGGCCCAGACUCCUACGGGAGGCAGCAGUGGGGAAUUUUGGACAAUGGGCGCAAGCCUGAUCCAGCCAUGCCGCGUGUCUGAAGAAGGCCUUCGGGUUGUAAAGGACUUUUGUCAGGGAAGAAAAGGGCGGGGUUAAUACCCCUGUCUGAUGACGUACCUGAAGAUAGCCCCG
rnacentral:rRNA from 1 species